GUCUACUACGGGCUCACCAUAGCCCGUGCUACUUGGAACUUUUGUUCCGAGUGGCUGAAUUUAAAAACAUAACAACCCAGCACCAGCCUGUGAUCACUAGCGCGGUGCCUGCGUAAGGAAUGGGAGUGACCUUGACGCGCUGCUCGGCGGAACCUCCUUACUACUUUUUACAGCGCUGUGAGUUGUCUCUGUCCCUGAAUGCAGUUAUAUGGCCUGGCCUGGAGGUGAGGAUGGGUGUACAAAGCUCUGAUGCAGUUUGUAGAACUGAUACGUGAGGAGGUGCUUGUAGCUGGCCUCGAAUGGAUAAGUAGGAUUCGCCAGAUAAAACAUUCGGGACGCUGCAAGAGAUCGCGUCCUUGCCAUUGUUGAGAAGUCCGGCGAGAGGUCAUGGAGGCCCCUACACCAGCCAGCACAAACACUCACCUGGACACCAUUGGUGGAGAAGAUAGCGGCACGGGUCCCCAGGAGUGCACCACACACCACAAGUGCCCUCACCACACCUGCGUCCGUCCUCCACCGUGUCAUGGUGGCAACUGCCAGUACGGUGGCCAAGGAUGGCUUUAUACCCUCUCCCGAGGUUUGUGUGGGGAGAAGUUCGUGGAGGAGCUUCGUGUCUGGUGAAGAUUACAUGAUGGAACUUCAGGUGUGGAGUUGAACUUCAAGUGUGAAGUAGAACUUCAGUGGUAAAGCAGAACUAAAGUGGUAGUGUAGAACUUCGAGUGUAGUGCAGCUACAUUUUUUUUUUUGUUAAGCCGCAUAGAAGAACUUCACAGGCGUUGAGUGGAACUUCAAGUAGUAGCAAAUAUUGAAGAGACUGCAGGAAUACCUACCUGAUUUCAAGGACCCAUAGACAUGUUCUUAGUGGCGGGUCUUAAGACGCAGAACAGGGAAUUGUAUGGAUACCAUGAUAUAUAUGAGGGAGUACUUGAUUGCAUAUGGCGUGAGUGACGCAAUGUAAGGUGAGUGAUUAUUUUUCUUGUUGAGGAUAUUGUUAUAUGCAAGUUACCCAGCCACAAGCAGUGAGAAGGCUGAGGGUGAAAAAUUGAGCAGCAGCCUAGCACAGUUUAUUUGGUGAAGAACUGCUAUUAUAUAAAUGUUGUUAUUGUUUGUAGAAUCCGAUGAUACUAUGUUGUUUUAUUAUUUCAUUCUUUGUAUUGUCAUAUAAUAAAUGUUUGUCUGUAG